rnacentral:rRNA from 1 species
UGAGCGGCGGACGGGUGAGUAACGCGUGGGUAACCUGCCUCAUACAGGGGAGUAACAGUUGGAAACGGCUGCUAAUACCGCAUAAGCGCACAGUACCGCAUGGUACGGUGUGAAAAACUCCGGUGGUAUGAGAUGGACCCGCGUCUGAUUAGGUAGUUGGUGGGGUAACGGCCUACCAAGCCGACGAUCAGUAGCCGACCUGAGAGGGUGACCGGCCACAUUGGGACUGAGACACGGCCCAA